UUUUCUUUUUUAAGGCAGAGCAUAGAAGUACUUUGGAAAGUAAAGCAGUUCGUGUGGUGGAAGGGGAGUGAGCAUCCUGAAGUAGUCUUUCAAUGGGCUUAAAUUUUUCAUUUUCCUCCAUUGUUCCCCAUCUGACAGCCAGCUUGGAAAAAACACCUCUGGGUAUUCAGUAUGUGAGGAUUCCAGAGAGCAAGAGAGCAGAGGCCCCUGAAGAGUAGAAUGCUGCAGAUGUGUUCCUUUGCUAUCACACGGGUCUUUGACUGCUCAAAUAAUAUUGGGAUAUUGAAGGAACAAGGACCUGGUUGAGCUGAACAGUCCCCUCCAAGUACACAGCUGGCAUCCCUGUUGGAGAGGAAGCUUCCUGGAGGCCUCACGUUUCCAGGGAUGACCUACGAAGGGCUGACAUCUCCAGCGACAUGCCUCCACCAUCAGCUUAGGUAGCACCGUGCCAUGGGUGACAUGCUAUAUCUCUGUGCAAGGUGGUGAUUGCAACAAAGAGACUGGAACCAGCCACACAUGUUUGGCUUAAUUGGCACAA